UACGGAGGGUGCGAGCGUUAAUCGGAAUUACUGGGCGUAAAGCGUCUGUAGGUGGUGAUGCAAGUCACUGGUGCAAAACUCUGGCUCAACCGGAGGAAAGCCAGUGAAACUGCAUGACUAGAGUGUGGGAGAGGUAGAAGGAAUUCCCUGAGUAGCGGUGAAAUGCGUAGAUACAGGGAAGAACACCGGAGGCGAAAGCGUUCUACUGGAACACAACUGACACUGAGAGACGAAAGCUAGGGGAGCGAAUGGG
rnacentral:rRNA from 1 species